rnacentral:rRNA from 1 species
AGAAUGUUAUCACGGGAGACACACGGCGGGUGCUAACGUCCGUCGUGAAGAGGGAAACAACCCAGACCGCCAGCUAAGGUCCCAAAGUCAUGGUUAAGUGGGAAACGAUGUGGGAAGGCCCAGACAGCCAGGAUGUUGGCUUAGAAGCAGCCAUCAUUUAAAGAAAGCGUAAUAGCUCACUGGUCGAGUCGGCCUGCGCGGAAGAUGUAACGGGGCUAAACCAUGCACCGAAGCUGCGGCAGCGACGCUUAUGCGUUGUUGGGUAGGGGAGCGUUCUGUAAGCCUGCGAAGGUGUGCUGUGAGGCAUGCUGGAGGUAUCAGAAGUGCGAAUGCUGACAUAAGUAACGAUAAAGCGGGUGAAAAGCCCGCUCGCCGGAAGACCAAGGGUUCCUGUCCAACGUUAAUCGGGGCAGGGUGAGUCGACCCCUAAGGCGAGGCCGAAAGGCGUAGUCGAUGGGAAACAGGUUAAUAUUCCUGUACUUGGUGUUACUGCGAAGGGGGGACGGAGAAGGCUAUGUUGGCCGGGCGACGGUUGUCCCGGUUUAAGCGUGUAGGCUGGUUUUCCAGGCAAAUCCGGAAAAUCAAGGCUGAGGCGUGAUGACGAGGCACUACGGUGCUGAAGCAACAAAUGCCCUGCUUCCAGGAAAAGCCUCUAAGCAUCAGGUAACAUCAAAUCGUACCCCAAACCGACACAGGUGGUCAGGUAGAGAAUACCAAGGCGCUUGAGAGAACUCGGGUGAAGGAACUAGGCAAAAUGGUGCCGUAACUUCGGGAGAAGG